rnacentral:rRNA from 1 species
CCAUCAGGCUUUGCUUCUUGGUGAGAGUGGCGAACGGGUGAGUAUGCGUGACCGACCUGCCCCAUACACCGGAAUAGCUCCUGGAAAACGGGUGGUAAUGCCGGAUGCUCCAGUUGAUCGCAUGGUCUUCUGGGAAAGCUUUCGCGGUAUGGGAUGGGGUCGCGUCCUAUCAGCUUGACGGCGGGGUAACGGCCCACCGUGGCUUCGACGGGUAGCCGGCCUGAGAGGGCGACCGGCCACAUUGGGACUGAGAUACGGCCCAGACUCCUACGGGAGGCAGCAGUGGGGAAUAUUGCACAAUGGGCGCAAGCCUGAUGCAGCGACGCCGCGUGAGGGAUGGAGGCCUUCGGGUUGUAAACCUCUUUUAUCGGGGAGCAAGCGAGAGUGAGUUUACCCGUUGAAUAAGCACCGGCUAACUACGUGCCAGCAGCCGCGG